AACCAAGUAACCUAUCAUAGUGCACCCAUCCCAUGACUGCCCAAUCUCAAUCCGUAUCUCUAAACAUAAUAUAUAAAACCAUACCUAUUAUCCUCUCCCAACGACCCUUACUCUAUCCUAUCCUAUUGAACCAACAUGUUAUACAUAAACUUGAAAAAAGUCUGAAAUGAAGAUGCGCCAUGGUUCUUGAAUUUACGUCUCU
rnacentral:lncRNA from 1 species